rnacentral:misc_RNA from 1 species
GUGAAGUGGGAGCAGAUUUGGUGGAUCUGAAACCAGGAGGAGCAUUCCACAUAUGUUGCAGCAUUUUGAAAGCAAAAAUUAAGAAUUUUGCCUGUGGAUAGAUAACAGUGAAGAAGGAAGUGAGAGGUGGGAGAAGAGGAGGGAAGGCUCAGACAGCUUAAAGAGAGGCGCAGAGCAAGACGCAGAGAAAUUCAAAGGAAGAUUGUGAUUUAGAGAAGUUGUAUAAGGAGAAUGAAAUUUGAAAAUUUUCGACCGUUGAG